UGGGGAAUUUUGGACAAUGGGCGCAAGCCUGAUCCAGCCAUGCCGCGUGCGGGAAGAAGGCCUUCGGGUUGUAAACCGCUUUUGUCAGGGAAGAAAUCUUCUGAGUUAAUACCUCGGGAGGAUGACGGUACCUGAAGAAUAAGCACCGGCUAACUACGUGCCAGCAGCCGCGGUAAUACGUAGGGUGCAAGCGUUAAUCGGAAUUACUGGGCGUAAAGCGUGCGCAGGCGGUUUUGUAAGACAGAGGUGAAAUCCCCGGGCUCAACCUGGGAACUGCCUUUGUGACUGCAAGGCUUGAGUGCGGCAGAGGGGGGAAUGGAAUUCCGCGUGUAGCAGUGAAAUGCGUAGAUAUGCGGAGGAACACCGAUGGCGAAGGCAAUCCCCUGGGCCUGCACUGACGCUCAUGCACGAAAGCGUGGGGAGCAAACAGAUUAGAUACCCUGGUAGUCCACGCCCUAAACGAUGUCAAC
rnacentral:rRNA from 1 species